rnacentral:rRNA from 1 species
UACGUAGGGCGCAAGCGUUAUCCGGAAUUAUUGGGCGUAAAGAGCUCGUAGGCGGUUUGUCGCGUCUGCCGUGAAAGUCCGGGGCUCAACUCCGGAUCUGCGGUGGGUACGGGCAGACUAGAGUGAUGUAGGGGGAGACUGGAAUUCCUGGUGUAGCGGUGAAAUGCGCAGAUAUCUGGAGGAACACCGGUGGCGAAGGCGGCAUCCUGGACCGGCAUUGACGCUGAGGCGCGAAAGCCAGGGGAGCAAAGCGGG